CUGCGCCCUGCGGAGCUCCGAACACGUGCGCAGAGGCUGGCUGUGGCAGAUGCAACUGCAGGAUGACUUGAAAGUAGGGCAUCCUUCACCCAUCUGAAGGGAGGAAAUAGUGGCAGGUGACAGUCUGCAUGUGCAGUUUUCAGAUGCCUUCACCUGAAUGACAUCUACCUCCAUCAGGACCCCAGAUGUCUGACAGCCCUGUGUGACACCAAGAUAAGUAACGAUCCCGUUGAAGAUACCACAUUACACUUAGGCUCCUGUUGGCCAUGACAGCUUCUUAGACUUGUUUUUAAUGACCUUGACAGUUUUGUUUUUUUGUUUGUUUGUUUUUGAGACGGAGUCUCUGUCAUCCAGGCUGGAGUGCAAUGUAAUGGCUCAAUCUCAGCUCACUGCAACCUCUGCCUCCCGGGUUCAAGUGAUUCUCCUGCCUCAGCCUCCCCAGUAGCUGGGAUUACAGGCAUGAGCCACCGUGCCCGGCUGCCUCCUAAAUUCUCAAAACAUUCCAUUUUUAUUCUGUGGUCUUACUUUAUUCUGUCAUGUAGAGAAUAGUGGUUGAGCCUGUUGUCUUUUGAGAGUGGAUGCUGUAGUCCUUACAUGGCUGACUUUCAGCCCGUAAGCUUAUAGUAGAG
rnacentral:lncRNA from 1 species